GGUAUAUCUCAGUGGUAGAGUGCAUGCUUACAAUGCAUGAAGUCCUGGGUUCAAUCCCCUAGUACC
rnacentral:tRNA from 1 species